CAGUAUUUUCAGGUGUUCUCAGGCAAACGCCACAUGAGCUGCACGUCACUGGUCUGUGAGCACACUAAUGGACUUCAUGUCAUCCUCAAAGAGUCCUUUGCUUAUAGUUUUGUCAGAGACAUGAACAUCAAACAUUCCCACUGGCAGGACUUCUGUAGCCAGUGCUCCUUAGAUUCAUAUUCUUCACACAGUUUAACUGACUGUGGGGUAUACUGUGACAAUGAAGUGUUCUUAUAUCUUGUGUGAUAUCAUUUAAAAUUAUUCUAGUAUGUUACUGGAAAGUGUUGCUAAAAACAACUUUUCAAACAUCAUCCUGUUAUUUUUUUUUCUUUUUCUUAUUUUACUGGUUUAGUAAGUGUUUUAUAGUAUUUUAUGUAACUGUAACUACUUCAGUCAAAAUGAAAGUAAAAUUGCAGCUAAUGCACGUAAGAUGAAAGAAAUUGAAAGGACAACAGAGUGUAGAGACCAGCUUAAACACACCACCUCAUCGUGUUUUCAUUCUUCACCAGUACAGCACGUCAGUUCUUCCUCCAUUCACAAAGCAGUGAUGGCGUGCAUCAGAUUCAUCAAGUGCUUGUUUCUCUUUAUAAUUCUGUUCAUCUUAUCUCUCCUGUGCCUAAUUUUCAUGGCAAGCUGGGCCAAGGACCAAGUGGAAAAUGACGUGUAUAGAAGAGCAGCAAUCACAAAAAUAUUUAAUCUCGCAAGUUCACUGGAUAACAAGGAAAAACUGGAAAUAUUCGAGAAAACCCUUCAAACAGCGAUAGAAGAGGAAGAGAGACUGAAGGAAGAAUCCAAGUACAAAAUGAGAAUCACCUCAAAACAAUUCAAUGAAAAAAUGAAAGAAUUUGUUCCUCAAUUGGAAGAAGCAAUGUUAUUAUCAUAUGAUUCUCCACCACUGCAGGAAAUAAUUGACAUUGCAUUUUACAUGAUCAAAAAAACCAGAGCUUACAUAGACAAGAAGCUGGAUUUGCUGCAAGAAUAGAGAACUCGGAAAAGAUACAUGAAAGGAGUAAAUGAUGAGCUUCAGAAAAUUGUAAGAGAAACAAUAAAUUGAACUUGUGUUUCUGUUUUCAUUUGCUGACCUAUGUAACGUAUAUCAUGUAUUUGUGAAAGGACAUAAUCUGAGAUGUUUUUGUUACUUUCUCUAAUUGUAUACUUCUUAGAUGCAUAACAUCUUGGCCUAUAAUGUUCUCUGAGUGAUAUUAUAAAGUGAAAAGCUUUACUCCUGGUGUGAGGCCUAAGCAAGAGCACAGUUGAGCUCUUCAGUCUUGAUGCAAUAAUGACUGCAGUAGUGAAACCUGGAUCCUUGUGUAGGCAGCACGACUUGUCAGUUUCUUGCAGUUAUUUAAGUUCCAGUGUUGCAGUUGUUUAGGCUGUUUAACUUCCUUAUCACAAAGAGACCAGAAAAAGGCAGACCUGCAUAGUGUAUGAUCCGUUCUGUUCUGAAACUAAACCUGAGGUUUCCAAAUCUAGCUAAUGCUUCCACAUGUAUGAUCUGGUGUUGGCAGCAUGUAACCAGUCACAGACAUGAACAGGUCUACUGGCAAGUUGUACUCCCAUCAUGGAUUCUUUGCUGACAGUAAUAUUAUUUUGACUAAUUAACUAAUGUGAUCAAAACAAGAAUAAUGUAAACAUAUAAACACACAGAGUACAGUGUGUGUGUGUGUGUACUGUUAUUCCACACUAAGGACUAGAUGUUUUAGACUGGUGUUAAUGGGUGAGUUUAGUACAGAGCUACACUCAAUCACAUUAUAGACCACAAGAAACAAUACAUGUUCUUUGACUUGUAAAUCAUCAGUGAUGCCCUGGAAAAGAGAUCGAGCAAAAUUCAUGAAUAAAUAUGUAAUAAUACAUAAAAUUCUAUAUAGUCAUAAUAAUUUUUAUAGUUUUGUAAGCUGUUUUGUUGUUUUAUAGAAUACAUAUUACUAUAUAUGAUUAAAAAAAUUAAUCAUUUUACUACCACAAAAACACAUCAUAAGUAGACAUAAUCUAUGUACUAAUGUACAUCUAUUAUUUACUAAAACUAAAAUUUUAUAAAAAUUAUUGAUAGCGAGCUGCUGAAAAUAGGGGACCAGGCGUAAAGAUUGUCUGUUUAUGAAUUAACACAAAGACAGUAGAAUGUCUUUUUAGAACAUUCACACAAUUCCACCUAACUGCUCGGACCUGCUUUUGGUAUUUCAUGCUGCUGAGCUAUGACUGAACAAUCAUUUUAGGUAUUUUAAGUCAACAACAAGUCUUCAAAGAUUACAGCAGGUUCAGGUGUUCUCAGGCAAACGCCACUUGAGCUGCACGUCACUGGUCUAUAACUACACUAAUGGACUUCAUGCCAUCCUCAAAGAGUCCUUUGCUUAUAGUUUUAUCAGAGACAUGAACAUCAAACAUUCCCACUGGCAGGACUUCUGUAGCCACUGCUCCUCAGAUCCAUAUUCUUCACACAGUUUAACUGACUGUGGGGUAUACUGUGACAAUGAAGUGUUCUUAUAUCUUGUGUGAUAUCAUUUAAAAUUAUUCUAGUAUAUUACUGGAAAGUGUUGCUAAAAAAGCCUUUUCAAACAUCAUCGUGUUAUUGUUUUUUUCUUUUUCUUAUUUUACUGGUUUAUUAAUUGUUUUUAUAGCGUUUUAUGUCACAAAAAUAACUAAUGGGUCUCUAUUCCUAUAAAGUGGACCAGUAAAAAACUACUUCAGUCAAAAUGAAAGUAAAAUUGUAGCUAAUGCACGUAAGAUGAAAGAAAGUGAAAGGACAACAGAGUGUAGAGACCAGUUCAAACACACCACCUCAUCGUGUUUUCAUUCUUCACCAGUACAGCACGUCAGUUCUUUCUCCAUUCACAAAGCAGUGAUGGCGUGCAUCAGAUUCAUCAAGUGCUUAUUUGUCUUUAUAAUUCUGUGCAUCUUAUCUCUCCCGUGCCUAAUUUUCAUCACAAGCUGGGUCAAGAACCAAGUGUUUCAGGAAUUACUGAAAAGAGUACAAGAAGAAGUUGAUAAAUACAAGGAAGAUGAUGUGUAUAGAAGAGCUGCAAUCACAAAAAUAUUUAAUCAUGCAAAUUCACUGGAUAACAAAGAAAAACUGGAAAUAUUCAAGGAAACCCUUCAAACAGCGAUAGAAGAGGAAGAGAGACUGAAGGAAGAAUCCAAGUACAAAUUGAGAAUCGCCUCAAAACAAUUCAAUGAAAAAAAGAAGGAAUUUAUUCGCCAAUUGGAACAAGCAAUGUUAUUAUCAUAUUAUUCUCCACCACUGCAGGAAAUAGUUGACAUCGGAUUUCACAUGUUGAAAAAAACCAGAGCUUACUUAGACAAGAAGCUGGAUUUACUGCAAGAAUAGAGAACUCAGAAAAGAUAAAUGAAAGGAGUAAAUGAUGAGCUUCAGAAAAUUGUAAGAGAAACAAUAAAUUGAACUUGUGUUUCUGUUUUCAUUUGUUGACCUAUGUAACGUAUAUCAUGUAUUUGUGAAAGGACAUAAUCUGAGUUGUUUUUGUGACUUUCUCUAAUUGAAUACUUCUUAGUUGCAUAACAUCUUGUCCUAUAAUGGUCUCUGAGUGGUAUUAUGAAGUGAAAAGCUUUACUCCUGGUGUGAGGCCUAAGCAAGAGCACAGUUGAGCUCUUCGGUCUUGAUGCUAUAAUGACUGCAGUAGUGAAACCUGGAUCCUUGGGUAAGCAGCACAACUUGUCAGUUUUUUGCAGUUAUUUAAGUUCCAGUGUUGCAGUUGUUUAGGCUGUGUUUAACUUCCUUAUCAAAGAGAUCAGAAAAAGGCAGACCUGCAUAGUGUAUGAUCCGUUCUGUUCUGAAACUACACCUGAGGUUUCCAAAUCUAGCUUGUGCUUCCACAUGUAUGAUCUGGUGUUGGCAGCAUGUAACCAGUCACAGACAUGAACAGGUCUACUGGCAAGUUGUACUCCCACCUCAUGGAUUCUUUGCUGACAGUAACAUUAUUUUGAUCAUAUUAGCUAAUGUAAUCAAGACAAGAAUAAUUUAAACACAUAUAGUACAGUGUGUGUGAGUGUGUGUGUCAAUGUUUUAAUUUACUUCUUUAUUUAGAACAGUUAUUCUGAUUAGAAAAAUACUGCUACAAUGUAUACCAUUACAUAUUAACAUAUAUUGAGUUAGGUAAUAAAAACUGUGACAUUUAUGGGGAAAUAAAGCUGCUGUGGCUACUUGGUGACAGAAAUUCAGUUUUUAUAAAUUUGAAUGGUACAGUUCUGCCAUAAAAGUCCAAUCAGUAUCAAACAAUUACAAUUUAAGAAAAUUAAUUAUAUUGUUUAUGAUGUGUGGUAGAAUAGUUUCCUUAAUGUUUUGCAUAGCAUAUGAUUGUAAUUUGUAAUGUGAUCCUUAUCUUAUAAUUAUGACAUAAUUCAUGAAAUAUAUGAAUGAUUAAUGUGUUAUCUAAUCAUUAAGUUAUUUAAUUCAACAUGAAGGUACUGACUCUCUGGCUUUAUAUCAUUUAAAUGUACUGAUGAACUGAGCAGUUUUAUUCACUGAUUAAAGAGUUUGUAGUCACAGUAAAAUUUGAAUAAUACAUGAAUAUAUUUAUGAAAAAUUCAAUCUAAACAUUUGUGAAUAUUUUUUCUGUAACUGUAAAUUAGACCAACAACAGCCAUGUCGCCUUACAAAUUCACAAUAUGAUGGCCUCAUGUGUGAGUGGUGUGUAUGGUGUGCUCAAUACACACCCAUCCAGUGAGCUAAUAUUGAGGAUGAUGAUGGAGGACAAGACACUGGAAAUUUUCACAGACUGAGGCUUGCCUGUCAAGAAUUCCAGCACCAGUGGUUCGAGUCCCAACAAUAAAAGUGGCUAGUGUCUGUGGAUUAAUGGUAUUAAAUGCAAAAUUAAAGUCCAGAAAGAGUAGUCAGACAUAUACACUCCAAGUCAAAACUGUGGACACACCUUCUCAUUUAAUGGUUUUUCUUUAUUUUCAUGACUAUUUACAUUGUAGAUUCUCAGUGAAGGCACCGUUACACUUUUUUAUUUACUACAUAAUUCCAUAUGUGUUUAUUCGUAGUUUUAACUCAAAACACGUUUUAUAUUUUAGAUUCUUUAAAAUAGCCUCCCUUUGCUUUGAUUACUGCUUUGCACACUCUUGGCAUUGUCUCUAUGAGCUUCAUGAGGUCGUCACCUGAAAUGGUUUUCCCACAGUCUUGAAGAAGUUCCCAGAGAUGCUGAGCACUUGUUGGCCCUUUUGCCUUCACUCUGCGGUCCAUCUCAUCCUAAACCAUCUUGACUGGGUUAGGUGACUGUGGAGGCUAUUAUUAAAUUCCGUUCUUUUGAAUUCUUUUGACGGCAGAAAAAGACUGGACUCAGAGUGGUCAAAGCUCAAAAAAUAAUCUUUAUUUUACAUUUCCAGAAAUGGAGACCCGAACACAUGAAGACAAAAGCUCAGGGCUGAAAGCUUUAGAAGCCAGCAUGGUUAUAUAUAUAUUUC
ensembl:lncRNA